UCUCUCUUUCUCUCUGUGCUGUGCGCGGUAUCAGUGCCGCAUACGUUCCGCGCGCGUAUAUCUAUACGUUCUCGGAAGAAGCGGAGAAGAGUGAGAUAUGCCGUUCGCAGUCUCUGUCACCGCCAUCGCCACCGCGAGCUACUGCGUGACAAACGGCGCGCACAUGAAUCGUGCGCACGCCGCGACAGACACGCAUGACGAGUGAUUUUGGAACUGUCGGCAUGGCAAGUAAUGUAGGACACGGCAAUGGUGGCAGUGCUCUAGUGAUUCUAUUAUCGACGCGCCAUCGACGUCGACUAGGUCCACUUUCAGCCGGAGAAACGACGCUGUACCUACGGCCCACAUACCGUUACUAGGAGCUUACUUUAUGCAAAUAAGGCGAAUGAGAGUGGACCAUGACGCAUUACGAGCGUGGGUGUGUAGUGAAGUGAAUUGAAGCGUAGCAAUUACAACUUUAUGGAUCGUCCCACGGGUACGGGUUGGGAUGAGCGAAAGAUUGCGGAUACAGCGUUG